rnacentral:rRNA from 1 species
UACGGAGGGUGCAAGCGUUGUCCGGAUUUAUUGGGCUUAAAGGGUGCGUAGGCGGCCCGUUAAGUCAGUGGUGAAAGCCUCCAGCUCAACUGGAGAACUGCCAUUGAUACUGGCGGGCUUGAGUACGGACGAGGUAGGCGGAAUUGAUUGUGUAGCGGUGAAAUGCAUAGAUACAAUCAAGAACACCGAUUGCGUAGGCAGCUUACUAGGCUGUAACUGACGCUGAGGCACGAAAGCGUGGGGAGCGAACAGG